AUUGGACGCUGGCGGCAUGCCUUACACAUGCAAGUCGAACGGCAGCACGGGAGCAAUCCUGGUGGCGAGUGGCGAACGGGUGAGUAAAGUAUCGGAACGUGCCCAGUCGUGGGGGAUAACGUAGCGAAAGUUACGCUAAUACCGCAUACGAUCUAUGGAUGAAAGCGGGGGAUCGCAAGACCUCGCGCGAUUGGAGCGGCCGAUAUCAGAUUAGGUAGUUGGUGGGGUAAAGGCCCACCAAGCCGACGAUCUGUAGCUGGUCUGAGAGGACGACCAGCCAAACUGGGACUGAGACACGGCCCAGACGCCUACGGGAGUCAGCAGUGGGGAAUUUUGGACAAUGGGCGAAAGCCUGAUCCAGCCAUGCCGCGUGCAGGAUGAAGGCCUUCGGGUUGUAAACUGCUUUUGUACGGAACGAAAAGGACUGCCCUAAUACGGUGGUCCCAUGACGGUACCGUAAGAAUAAGCACCGGCUAACUACGUGCCAGCAGCCGCAGUAA
rnacentral:rRNA from 1 species